UACGGGAGUGGCAAGCGUUAUCCGGAAUUAUUGGGCGUAAAGCGUCCGCAGGCGGUCUUGUAAGUCUGUUGUUAAAGCGUGGAGCUUAACUCCAUUUCAGCAAUGGAAACUGUAAGACUAGAGUGUGGUAGGGGCAGAGGGAAUUCCCGGUGUAGCGGUGAAAUGCGUAGAUAUCGGGAAGAACACCAGUGGCGAAGGCGCUCUGCUGGGCCAUAACUGACGCUCAUGGACGAAAGCCAGGGGAGCGAAAGGGAUUAGAUACCCCUGUAGUCCUGGCCGUAAACGAUGAACACUGGGUGUCGGGGGAAUCGACCCCCUCGGUGUCGUAGCCAACGCGUUAAGUGUUCCGCCUGGGGAGUACGCACGCAAGUGUGAAACUCAAAGGAAUUGACGGGGGCCCGCACAAGCGGUGGAGUAUGUGGUUUAAUUCGAUGCAACGCGAAGAACCUUACCAGGGUUUGACAUCCUGCGAAUCUUUUGGAAACAGAAGAGUGCCUUCGGGAACGCAGUGACAGGUGGUGCAUGGCUGUCGUCAGCUCGUGUCGUGAGAUGUUGGGUUAAGUCCCGCAACGAGCGCAACCCACGUCGUUAGUUGCCAGCAUUUAGUUGGGCACUCUAGCGAGACCGCCGGUGAUAAACCGGAGGAAGGUGUGGAUGACGUCAAAUCAUCAUGCCCCUUACAUCCUGGGCUACACACGUACUACAAUGCUACGGACAAAGGGCAGCAAACUCGCGAGAGCUAGCAAAUCCCAUAAACCGUGGUUCAGUUCAGAUCGUAGGCUGCAACUCGCCUACGUGAAGGAGGAAUCGCUAGUAAUCGCAGGUCAGCAUACUGCGGUGAAUACGUUCCCGGGCCU
rnacentral:rRNA from 1 species